UCACUGACUCAUUGGUUUGGAUUAACUUCCCUUGCUUUAUUCCAAAUCAUGUUUUGAUGACAAGCUUCCCGUUAUGAUUAUAUUUUGGCCUUCAUCUCUGUUCCACAUCACAAGCUUUUUGCUUAAAAGACAUCCCAAUUUGAAAGUGUAACAAUUUUUUUCAUGAAAGUACUAUUCUUAGAUCCCUUUUUUCGGUUACCGGGUCUCUUGCUUUUCCUUCUUCAAAUCUCCAGCAAUUAUGAUUCAUUGAAAAAUAAAUAAAUCAAGAGCCUUUUCCAUAUCUCUUCCUCCGCACUGAACCUCUCGAUCUGAUAAACCAAAGUAAGGAAAUCUCUGCAAUGUUGGAAGCACUUAGAAGCAGCAUCCAAAAGUUCAACGAGCUAAAAUACACUCGCAUAUCUGAACUAGAAGAACCCAGUGCGCGCAUCUGCUUAUACUCAACCUCGAAAAGUUCAUCGCUCUUGCCCUUUUCCAGAUUUGUAACUUUUUAGCAUCAAUUUCUGAUUUUGUGAUGUUUUUGUCGAUUUCGUUUGAACUUCAUGUUGAUUUUGCUGCGAUUGUGUUGAGUUUUUUUCUUGUAUGUUAUGGAUUUCACGGAAUUUAGUUUUUAUUUUUAUUUUUUUUAUUUGUAAGGUUAUAUGUUGUGAGAUUAGGGUUUUGAGGGAUCAAAUCUUUGGGAGGAUUUGAGCAUAGUUAGGAGUUCAGAUUGGUUUAAAUGUGUCAGGGUAUACAGGUAAUUGAGGAACUAAUUGGAAUAGAUUGAAUUUGGUUAGUUUGUGUGUUUCUUCGGUGAAAUUAGUACGGUAUGAAUGCAAGAACUAUUGUUGUAAUGUGAUUAGUCAUACUUGAUUUUGUUAGUUUCUUUGUUUGAUGUGAAGUCUAUUAAUUCCAUAUUGCUACUGGUUCUACAAAUGUUGGAUUUGUACUCAGCUUGAGCCAAAUGCAAAUGUCUCGUUGUAUUCUCUAAUGCAUCUAGGAAGGGCUUAUGAAAAUCAGGUAGAGCCAGAGCCAAAUAGGGGAAGUAAAUAAUGAUAAUUUGGUCAUAGGUUUCAAGUUAAGGGUAAAUAUUUUGAAAAUAGAAAUUAACAAUUUACUUUAUGAUUGUAGUUGUAGUACUAAGUUACUUAUUAAAGUUUGGUGUGAUGGGUACUUCCCGUCUUGCAGAAGAUAAUUUAUUUUUCUGAUUUAGAUUCCGUUAUAGGAGCUCAUGUUGGGUUAUACUGGUUUGCAUUGGAGUGUUUUUGGUUUUGCUGCUGCUCCUGGUUUGUUCAAUUCUGUUUUGCUCUUAUUGGGAGUCAUUUUUCAUUUUUCAUAUUCUGUUUUGCUCUUACUGGUGACUGUUUAAGAAUUUUUUAUUUUAUUUGGGUAUAAGUAUCAUUUGCAAUCUUCUGUGUAAUAUGAUAUAUUGUCUACAAGACACGUGCAUUUUUCUUCCCCGAGCCUGAUCUUAUGUUUACAUUCUAUUGCAGUAUCUUUAUGAGAACAAAAAUUUGAUCCUAGCUAUAUUGGACAAUCAAAACCUUAGGAAGCUCACUGAGUGUGCUUAGUAAGUUGUUGCUUAAGUUAUGUGCUGCCUGUUGUUAUGUCUUUUAUUUCCUGCUAUUCUUGUGAAUUUUUGUGAAACCGUUGGACGAUUAUUUUUAUUAGUUGGAUUGGGAUCUAUGUGAACAUCUUUUGCAUUUUUAGAAACAUAUGAACUGGUAAAUACGCAACUUGCAUCCGCGUGGUUUCUUUUCUAGCAUUUACCUUUUCUCAAACCUUCUCAGUAGUCUUAGAUUUUUUUGUUUUUGGCUUGCUUUUGUUGCAAGGCCUAGGUGUUUAAUUGGUUGAGCUUGUACAAAUUUUGGUUCCGAUUCUGGUUUUUAUAAGUUAUUUCCCAAAAAAAAAUAAGUUUUGAUAUUUCAGUACAACAUUGAGGUUGUUCUGAUCAAUUUGUAAUCGUAACACUGAGGCUUUCUGAUCAGUUUUGAUUUUUCAGUUCGAUUAGUUUUGAUUUUCCAGUAAAAUAUGGUAUGUUCCAAUCAGUUUGUGUGUAUGUUGUUUUCCUGCUUUUGCUAGUAAUCUAGAAACUGCAGGAGUAUAUGCAGAUUUUGCUACUAAAAUCAUAAAUUUGGAGUUUCGGGAAACUGCCCUGAAAGCCUGAUGUAUGAAAUUAAAAGUUCAAGACAAUUAAUUUUUUAAAUAAGCAGGUUUCCUCAAUAACUUGUAGUGAUUUCGCAAUCGUAUCCUCAAUUAACUUAUAAGGCUUCAAUAGAAAUAACUUGUAGCAGCAAUAUUUGAAGUUUAUAAGUAAUACGUAAUGAUCUAUUGGUUCUUCUUGUUCUCUGCUAGUGUUUACUGCAGAAUCCAGUCUUACUGUUAUGCUAUAUAAGCUUCUGUCAAAGAAAAUCAAUAAAACAUUCUGCUUAAUUUAAUGAUUGUCCUUAUAAAUAAGAACAAGAGUCAUACCACUCUUUUAGUGAGUCCAUGGGACAUACACAUGAACAUGAUGAGAUAUAUUCAUGAAAAGAUCUGUAUAUGUUACAUGGCUCUUGGUUUUUAGCUCAUUGAUCUUGCAUAUUGCAUGUUGUAUUUCUUCUCCAUUCAGGGCAAUCAAUUUGACUAGCAAUUCUAAAUAUGAGAUCUCCCGUGGAAAUCAUGUACAUAUUUCUGAUUUCUAAAUGCACAACUUGCAUCAACUCUAGAUAGUAUAAAUAAUGAGAGAGAAUCGCAAGAUGUAUGUCAUGAAUUGAUUAGUAUUCUUGUUUAAACAUAUAGGAUUCAAAGGUGGUGUUCCAAUAGAUGAGGAAUUAUUUAUCCAGAGCAUAGCUGGCAAGCAUAAUGAUGACAUUUACCAGGGCUCUCUUCCCUGAUGACUUCGAGCAGGCUUGAAAUUCACAGAUCAGAAGGUAGCUUAUUUCAGGAGGAACACCCUAUGUACGAUGAUUAAUUACCAAAUUGUUGUUGGGCAUGAAUCAGAAGGUGGCAUUACUCCCACAACGGGUGACGAAUCACAAGGUUUAUACUCCGAGGACUGCGCCUUAUGCUAGUGAGGAAAUUGACGUGGUUCGUGAGCAAUGGGCGAAUUUUUUUACCAGCAAGUAUUUAUUAUUGACCUGAGCGCGCUUGAUCGAGUUGGUUUAGAUGUUAUAGAACAAUCUUUUAUGUUAAAAUGUAUGCGUACGUUGAAAUUGGAACGUACAUAUAUUUAUUUAAAUGUAUAUGGUAUGUGCACUUUGGUUUUGAGAUAUAUACAAAACACCUGUUAUUGUUUGUAUAUUUGUUAUACAGGU